GAUGAACGCUGACAGAAUGCUUAACACAUGCAAGUCUACUUGAACUUCGGUUUGGGUGGCGGACGGGUGAGUAACGCGUACAGAACUUGCCUCACAGAUAGGGACAACAUUUGGAAACGAAUGCUAAUACCUGAUAUUAUGAUUUUAGGGCAUCCUAGAAUUAUGAAAGCUAUAUGCACUGUGAGAGAGCUUUGCGUCCCAUUAGCUAGUUGGAGAGGUAACGGCUCACCAAGGCGAUGAUGGGUAGCCGGCCUGAGAGGGUGAUAGGCCACAAGGGGACUGAGACACGGCCCUUACUCCUACGGGAGGCAGCAGUGGAGAAUAUUGGACAAUGGACCAAGAGUCUGAUGCGGCAAUUCUGUGUGCACGAUGAAGUUUUUCGGAAUGUAAAGUGCUUUCAGUUGGGAAGAAAAAAAUGACGGUACCAACAGAAGAAGUGACGGCUAAAUACGUG
rnacentral:rRNA from 1 species